rnacentral:rRNA from 1 species
GACGAACGCUGGCGGCGUGCUUAACACAUGCAAGUCGAACGGAAAGGCCCUGCUUUUGUGGGGUGCUCGAGUGGCGAACGGGUGAGUAACACGUGAGUAACCUGCCCUUGACUUUGGGAUAACUUCAGGAAACUGGGGCUAAUACCGGAUAGGAGCUCCUGCUGCAUGGUGGGGGUUGGAAAGUUUCGGCGGUUGGGGAUGGACUCGCGGCAUAUCAGCUUGUUGGUGGGGUAGUGGCUUACCAAGGCUUUGACGGGUAGCCGGCCUGAGAGGGUGACCGGCCACAUUGGGACUGAGAUACGGACCAGACUCCUACGGGAGGCAGCAGUGGGGAAUAUUGCACAAUGGGCGGAAGCCUGAUGCAGCAACGCCGCGUGCGGGAUGACGGCCUUCGGGUUGUAAACCGCUUUCGCCUGUGACGAAGCGUGAGUGACGGUAAUGGGUAAAGAAGCACCGGCUAACUACGUG